rnacentral:lncRNA from 1 species
AGGCUUUAUAUCGCUCUCAGACACUGACAGCUGUAAUGCUUUUUACCAGGUAGUGAUCUCUGGAGACGGGCACGGUAUAUAUCAUUAUCUGUGUGUGCUGUGUUGCCAAACUUGGUGAUGGUAUGGGGACCAGCGAUACUUUGUGCACAAGAGACAUAAGGCUCCGAAAGAUGUUUGUAGGGGAAAUUUCUGGCUCCAACUGCUGUUAAGAAAACUGGCAUUAAAAUACUACUGAUGGAUUGGCUGGUGCUGGGUCCCAGUGCAGCUGUGGUGCCUUUAUACUAGGGGUCUAUUCCCUUGGAAAACAGCUUACAAAAG